rnacentral:rRNA from 1 species
CGCAAGGGGUUAGUAGAGUGGCGAACGGGUGAGUAACACGUGGGUGACCUACCUUCGAAUGGGGGAUAACGUACCCGAAAGGGACGCUAAUACCGCAUAACAUCCUGCUUUUGAACAAGUGGAGAUCAAAGCCGGGGAUCGCAAGACCUGGCGUUUGAAGAGGGGCCCGCGUCUGAUUAGCUAGUUGGUGAGGUAACGGCUCACCAAGGCGACGAUCAGUAUCCGGCCUGAGAGGGCGGACGGACACACUGGGACUGAGACACGGCCCAGACUCCUACGGGAGGCAGCAGUGGGGAAUUGUUCGCAAUGGGCGCAAGCCUGACGACGCAACGCCGCGUGGAGGAUGAAGGUCUUCGGAUUGUAAACUCCUGUUGCCCGGGACGAAACGCUUCGACCUAACACGUCGGAGUUUGACGGUACCGGGUGAGGAAGCCCCGGCUAACUCUGUGCCAGCAGCCGCGGUAAUACAGAGGGGGCAAGCGUUGUUCGGAAUUACUGGGCGUAAAGGGCGCGUAGGCGGCCUUCUAAGUCGAACGUGAAAUCCCCGGGCUCAACCCGGGAACUGCGUCCGAUACUGGAAGGCUUGAAUCCGGGAGAGGGAUGCGGAAUUCCAGGUGUAGCGGUGAAAUGCGUAGAUAUCUGGAGGAACACCGGUGGCGAAGGCGGCAUCCUGGACCGGCAUUGACGCUGAGGCGCGAAAGCCAGGGGAGCAAACGGGAUUAGAUACCCCGGUAGUCCUGGCCCUAAACGAUGAAUGCUUGGUUGUGGCGGGUAUCGAUCCCUGCCGUGCCGAAGCUAACGCAUUAAGCAUUCCGCCUGGGGAGUACGGUCGCAAGGCU